UAGGGAAUCUUCGGCAAUGGACGAAAGUCUGACCGAGCAACGCCGCGUGAGUGAAGAAGGUUUUCGGAUCGUAAAACUCCGUUGGUAGAGAAGAACGUUGGUGAGAGUGGAAAGCUCAUCAAGUGACGGUAACUACCCAGAAAGGGACGGCUAACUACGUGCCAC
rnacentral:rRNA from 1 species